UCCCAGGUGGUGCUAGUGGUAAAGAACCUGCCUGCAGUGCAGGAGACCUGGGUUCAAUCCCUGGAUUGGGAA
rnacentral:tRNA from 1 species